AUUAGUCAAUAUAGUGUAAUGAACUGAACAAUAUUGUGUAAUAAAUAUUUACCACAAUAUGAAUAUCACAUGAGCAAGCGAUCAAAAUAAGUAGGUAAUAUUUUACAUUCUUUGUGGCCGUGUUGUUAUAUCCUAUAUCAAGUAUUAGUCAACACACCUGCAGUUGUCCAUUCUCAUUAGUAAUUGAUAAAUUCUCUAUGUUUGUAUCCUUGAAAUAAUUAAAAUGAAUGUGAUAAACUGAACAAUGUUGUAUAAUAAAUAUAUAUCACAAAAUAAAUAUCAUAUCAGCAAGUGAUUAGUAUGAGGCGGGAAUAUCUUGCAUUCUUUGUGGCCUCUUUCUGAUAUCUUCUAUCAAGUUGAAGAUGUGUAAACUACAAGUCUACUUUAUCCGCAACAAUCUUUAACUUUUCCAUGCUCAUAGCCUUGAUAUAAUAUAAGUUACCCUAAAAUUAGUGUGAUCAAAUAAAGAAUCUAGUGUAUUAAAUAUUUUUAACAAAGUAAAUAUCACAUUAUCUUGCGAUUAGAAUGAGGAGGAAACAUCUUACAUUCUUUGUGGCCUCUUUUUUACACCCUCUGUCCAGUAGUAGUUGAGUAAACUGCAGCUGUCUUUAUCAGCAGCAAUUAUUAAAUUUUUUAUGCUCCUUACUUUAAAAUAAUAUAACUGACCUCAUAACAAGAGUAAUAAACUGAACAAUGUUAUGUAAAAAAUUUUGUCACAAAAUGUAUAUUCAACACAUCAGCUAGUGGUCAUAAAUAGCACUUUUGUUACACCCUCUAUCAAGUAAUUGGCAUGUACCUCAUAUAUCACAUGUAUCAAGAUUAAGUUUCCUUAAUAAAUGGAAUAAUCAAAUAUCAUACAUGUUUUUACAUCCUCUAUCAAGUAGAAGUCUACAUACCUCCAGGUGUCCUUUCUCAUCAGCAAACUGAGGAGGUAACAUCUUACAUUCUUUGUGGCCUCUUUUUUACACCGUAUGUCAAGGAGUAGUUGAGUAAACUGCAGCUUUCUUUAUCAGCAGCUAUUAUUAAAUUUUUUAUGCUCCUUACUUUAAAAUAAUAUAACUGACCUCAUAACUAGAGUAAUAAUCUGAACAAUGUUAUGUAAAAACAUUUUGUCACAAAAUAUAUAUUAAAAACAUCAGCUAGUGGUCAUGAAUAGCACUUUUGUUACACCCUCUAUCAAGUAAUUGACAUGUACCUCAUAUAUCACAUGUAUCAAGAUUAAGUUUCUGUAAUAAAUGGAAUAAUCAAAUAUCAUACAUGUUUUUACAUCCUCUAUCAAGUAGAAGUCUACAUACCUCCAGGUGUCCUUUCUCAUCAGCAAACUGAGGAGGUAACAUCUUACAUUCUAUGUGGCCUCUUUUUUACACUGUCUGUCAAGGAGUAGUUGAGUAAACUGCAGCUUUCUUUAUCAGCAGCUAUUAUUAAAUUUUUUAUGCUCCUUACUUUAAAAUAAUAUAACUGACCUCAUAACAAGAGUAAUAAACUGAACAAUGUUAUGUAAAAAAUUUUGUCACAAAAUAUAUAUUAAAAACAUCAGCUAGUGGUCAUGAAUAGCACUUUUGUUACACCCUCUAUCAAGUAAUUGACAUGUACCUCAUAUAUCACAUGUAUCAAGAUUAAGUUUCUGUAAUAAAUGGAAUAAUCAAAUAUCA